GUAGGGGGCAAGCGUUGUCCGGAUUUAUUGGGCGUAAAGAGCUCGUAGGCGGUUCGAUAAGUCGGGUGUGAAACCUCCAGGCUCAACCUGGAGACGCCACCCGAUACUGUCGUGACUAGAGUCCAGUAGGGGAGCGUGGAAUUCCUGGUGUAGCGGUGAAAUGCGCAGAUAUCAGGAGGAACACCAGCGGCGAAGGCGGCGCUCUGGGCUGGAACUGACGCUGAGGAGCGAAAGCGUGGGGAGCGAACAGGAUUAGAUACCCUGGUAGUCCACGCCGUAAACGUUGGGUACUAGGUGUGGGGUCUUAUCAACGGAUUCCGUGCCGAAGCUAACGCAUUAAGUACCCCGCCUGGGGAGUACGGCCGCAAGGCUAAA
rnacentral:rRNA from 1 species